rnacentral:rRNA from 1 species
AUGUCUAAGUGUACUGCAUUUGUUCUUUUUAUGCACUUUUUAACGACCAUAGUCAAACUUCAUUUUGACACAGUGUAUGUUUUCCAUCCUGGGGCGCCUAGGUUUGAGGAGGUUACUCAAUUGAUUGACCAUUAUUUUGCAGAGGGUGAUGUUGGUGUGAGCUUUGACCAGAGAUGUCCCAUCUUGUCUGAAACACAAUCGCAGUCUGUUGAUGGUACAGAGCAAGUUACACAGGAUUGGAUGGUCUUGCAUCAGCUUUGUGCAUAUGAAUUGAAGCAAAACAAGAAGAAGUUGAGGUUUGAAAGUGACUCAGAAGAGUUUGUAGAGAAGGAGAAGCAGAGGAGAGCUGCAGAUGGUGCCAAGGGUGCCAAAUUUGCCAAGGUGAAGUAG